CGUCCCCUCGUAAAUCAAUAAAACAAAUUUCUCAGACAACACUGUUCUGGUUGCUACAAGUUAGUUACCAAGGCGCUCUAAUAAAGUAAAUAAACAAACAAAUUGGAAAAGUUCUGAUUUCGAGUAUCGCUCGAUUACUUCUGCCAUGUCUUUUCAUGAAUAAAACCGAAACCUAAUUGUAACAUUAUUUGGAAGCUCCAACAAGUUCUUCAAUUUUGUAAGAGACAAAACCGCCUCAGAAUACACGCAUCUGUUUCCUUGAUCUUAAAUCUAGAUUUGUUUCCUGUUCUUGAAUUUAUUACGUUCAACUUUCAAAUCGAGAGAGAUGGUACCCGCAAAGUUUUGAAAUCUGAGUGUCCAAAAUAUUGCACGCAUUUUUAUGCAACUGUAGUUUUAUACAAGGUUUGGCAUCAGACGCUCAAAAGAAAUUACGAUUGCGUCCUCAAUCAAUCAAUUCGAAAAUUAGAGUUGGCCAUCCAAUUGUUCUCUGGAAAAAGAUGGAUAAUGUUCUGAAAUUCGAUAAAAAACUAUUCAAAAUACAUGCAACAAUUAGUUCACAAGUACCGAGUGCAAACAUACGGGAGAAUCAAACUAUAAGAAAAUAAUAAAUCGGACCAAAAUUUUCAAAGCGACGAACAGUAGAGCCUACUAGCAAGCUCUGUGGCGUAGACAAGAUAGUAUGGACCGGUGCUAGUAUUCUGAAUGAACUACAAAAUCAAAAAGAUUGGAGAGCGAAUAAUGGAUAUUGGAAGUACGUUUCUACAAUCGAAUCAGACUGUGAAAUAAUUGAAUGAUAACUUAAUACAAUGUAAAAAUCUGACUAAUCAGCAACACUACCGAUUAUAGGGUUGAUUAUAAAUUGUUUUGUAUUCUAGAAAUUUUAACAACAAGAAUGCA